GGUCUCCAAAGAGUCCUGUGAUGUGAUCUGUCUUCAAGUCUCUCAGCCAUGGAUACCAGCACCUGUUCCAGUGGACGUAGCAUAGGAGUGAAGUGGACUCUUUGAGGGUCCUUGGUUGUAGUUUUGUUUCAUGCACUGUUGGUUGGGCUCCAGCCAGGAGGUGAUGCUUUCAA